GAUGAACGCUGGCGGCGUGCCUAACACAUGCAAGUCGAGCGAUUCUCUUCGGAGAAGAGCGGCGGACGGGUGAGUAACGCGUGGGUAACCUGCCCUGUACACACGGAUAACAUACCGAAAGGUAUGCUAAUACGAGAUAAUAUGCUUUUAUCGCAUGGUAGAAGUAUCAAAGCUUUUGCGGUACAGGAUGGACCCGCGUCUGAUUAGCUAGUUGGUAAGGUAACGGCUUACCAAGGCGACGAUCAGUAGCCGACCUGAGAGGGUGAUCGGCCACAUGGGAACUGAGACACGGUCCAAACUCCUACAGGAGGCAGCAGUGGGGAAUAUUGCACAAUGGGCGAAAGCCUGAUGCAGCAACGCCGCGUGAGCGAUGAAGGCCUUCGGGUCGUAAAGCUCUGUCCUCAAGGAAGAUAAUGACGGUACUUGAGGAGGAAGCCCCGGCUAACUACGUGCCAGCAGCCGCCGUAACAC
rnacentral:rRNA from 1 species